rnacentral:rRNA from 1 species
GAUGAACGCUGGCGGCGUGCCUAAUACGUGCAAGUCGAGCGAACAGACGAGGAGCUUGCUCCUCUGACGUUAGCGGCGGACGGGUGAGUAACACGUGGAUAACCUACCUAUAAGACUGGGAUAACUUCGGGAAACCGGAGCUAAUACCGGAUAAUAUAUUGAACCGCAUGGUUCAAUAGUGAGAGACGGUUUUGCUGUCACUUAUAGAUGGAUCCGCGCCGCAUUAGCUAGUUGGUAAGGUAACGGCUUACCAAGGCAACGAUGCGUAGCCGACCUGAGAGGGCGAUCGGCCACACUGGAACUGAGACACGGUCCAGACUCCUACGGGAGGCAGCAGUAGGGAAUCUUCCGCAAUGGGCGAAAGCCUGACGGAGCAACGCCGCGUGAGUGAUGAAGGUCUUCGGAUCGUAAAACUCUGUUAUUAGGGAAGAACAAAUGUGUAAGUAACUAUGCACGUCUUGACGGUACCUAAUCAGAAAGCCACGGCUAACUACGUG